AGCGAACGCUGGCGGCAGGCCUAAUACAUGCAAGUCGAACGGUCUCUUCGGAGGCAGUGGCGGACGGGUGAGUAACGCGUGGGAAUAUGCCCUUUGGUACGGAACAACUGAGGGAAACUUCAGCUAAUACCGUAUGUGCCCUUCGGGGAAAGAUUUAUCGCCAUUGGAGUAGCCCGCGUUGGAUUAGGUAGUUGGUGGGGUAAAGGCCUACCAAGCCUACGAUCCAUAGCUGGUCUGAGAGGAUGAUCAGCCACACUGGGACUGAGACACGGUCCAGACUUCUACGGGAGGCAGCAGUUAGGAAUAUUGGACAAUGGGGGAAACCCUGAUCCAGCCAUGCCGCGUGUGUGAAGAAGGCCUUAGGGUUGUAAAGCACUUUCGUCCGCGAAGAUAAUGACAGUACCGGAAGAAUAAGCACCGGCUAACUACGUG
rnacentral:rRNA from 1 species